AUUGAACGCUGGCGGAAUGCUUUACACAUGCAAGUCGAGCGGCAGCGCGGGGGCAACCCUGGCGGCGAGCGGCGAACGGGUGAGUAACAUAUCGGAACGUACCCAGUCGUGGGGGAUAACUAUCCGAAAGGAUAGCUAAUACCGCAUACGUCCUGAGGGAGAAAGCGGGGGAUCGCAAGACCUCGCGCGAUUGGAGCGGCCGAUAUCGGAUUAGCUAGUUGGUGGGUAAAGGCUCACCAAGGCGACGAUCCGUAGCGGGUCUGAGAGGACGACCCGCCACACUGGAACUGAGACACGGUCCAGACUCCUACGGGAGGCAGCAGUGGGGAAUUUUGGACAAUGGGGCAACCCUGAUCCAGCCAUUCCGCGUGAGUGAAGAAGGCCUCGG
rnacentral:rRNA from 1 species